rnacentral:lncRNA from 1 species
CAAAGAGUCGGACAUGACUGAGUGACUGAACUGAACUGAACCGAACUGAACUGAAGCAACUUAGCACACAAAAACGUGCAUGAGACUAUUAAUAAAUUUCUUCCGAGCCCCACCAACACAUCGGGUAAAAAUCAAAGUCUAAGGUCAUAACCUGGUGGCUCAGAGGGUAAAGUAUCUACCUGCAAUGCAGGAGACCCAGAUUCUAUCCCUGGGCUGGGAAGAUCCCCUGAAGAAGGAAAUGGCAACCCACUCCANNNNNNNNNNNNNNNNNNNNNNNNNNNNNNNNNNNNNNNNNNNNNNNNNNCCACAGGGUCGCAAAGAGUCAGACAUGACUGAGCAACUUCACUUUCACUUUCAAGGUCAUAAACACACUCCUAGCCAAUAAACUAUUCCAGAAACUGACAAGAUGUAUUUAUGGGUGCUGCUGGGCCAAAGCUGUGCCUUCUGCAUGUAAAUGGGAGGAGCUGGGUCCUGGCCACCACUCUUGACCCUCUCUCUGUCCUGUAUUCACCCCCCAUCUUAUAGCCAUUAUAACUGCUGCUUCAAUGCUGGAGGCCAAAGUCUCCCUGCCUGUCUGAUUUCUGCUGGUCCCGUGGCUCUUGUUGUGACUACCGCUUCCCAUGGAACCCUGGUUACUUUGCCAUGUCCACUAGAGUUAAUUAGCCCUAUUCCAGGCAGAAAGCGCAGUUGGGCCAAGGCUUGGGAUCUGGGUCUGAUGGCCUCACCUCAACCUGAACCCUGGUACUGCACUGAGGCAGGUCAUCUUGCCAUCUCAAGCCCAAGCUGGUACUGGUAUCUGAGCCCAAUUCUGGUUACCACUUGGCUAGACUCUCCCAGGAAUUCCACAUCUUGAAUGCACAACCUGUUUUGCUCUAGCUGCAAAUACCUCGACUGUCCAGCAAAGUGUCCUCCUCCAUCACCUCAUGAUGACGCUGACAAAGCUAUGUUUCUCCCACUCCAGACUCUUAAUGAGCUUCUCCUAUGGGAGAGAAUCCAAAUGAGAGAAAGCCUGUGCCUACUGCCCUGUGAAGCUCUAAACACCACGCAAGGCUUAGUUUAGCACUUGCUGUGCAGAUCACUUUCUCUCCCUCCAGGCCCACCUCAAACAUUCCCAUCCGUGCCCAUCCCUGUCUAGCCAUGUUGAGCUGUCUGCAACCACUUGCUCUUCAGCACCAGGCUCUCUCACAUCUCGGGUUUUCACACAGAGCUUUUGUUUAGAAUAUCUGCUGCAUCUUGCUGCAUCUAGCUGAUUCUUAUACACUCUUCAGUGUCACGCCAAAGGCUGUCACCGCUUGGAUACCUUCUCUGAUUUCUACAGCCUGACUCAC